UGGGGAAUCUUGGACAAUGGGCGCAAGCCUGAUCCAGCCAUGCCGCGUGAGUGAAGAAGGCCUUCGGGUUGUAAAGCUCUUUUACCAGGGACGAUAAUGACGGUACCUGGAGAAUAAGCCCCGGCAAACUUCGUGCCAGCAGCCGCGGUAAUACGAAGGGGGCUAGCGUUGUUCGGAAUUACUGGGCGUAAAGCGCACGUAGGCGGAUUGUUAAGUCAGAGGUGAAAUCCCGGAGCUCAACUUCGGAACUGCCUUUGAUACUGGCAAUCUAGAGUCCGGAAGAGGUUAGUGGAAUUCCCAGUGUAGAGGUGAAAUUCGUAGAUAUUGGGAAGAACACCAGUGGCGAAGGCGGCUAACUGGUCCGGUACUGACGCUGAGGUGCGAAAGCGUGGGGAGCAAACAGGAUUAGAUACCCAAGUAGUCCCUGAGCGGGCUGGCAAGGCG
rnacentral:rRNA from 1 species